rnacentral:rRNA from 1 species
UACAGAGGUCCCAAGCGUUGUUCGGAUUCACUGGGCGUAAAGGGUGCGUAGGUGGCUUGGUAAGUUUGAUGUGAAAUCUCCGGGCUUAACCCGGAAAUGGCAUUGAAUACUAUUGAGCUGGAGGUUUGGAGGGGGGACUGGAAUUCUCGGUGUAGCAGUGAAAUGCGUAGAUAUCGAGAGGAACACCAGUGGCGAAGGCGAGCCCCUGGACAACACCUGACACUGAGGCACGAAAGCUAGGGGAGCAAACAGG